AGGUCAGUUCUUGCAAGAUGAUCUUCAGCAGCCUCCUUGUGCCAGCUUAAGCCAAACCUGAAAGGGAAAGAGUUAUCUCAGUGAGUUUUGGAUCCCUGAAUGGAAGGCACCCAAGCACGAAGCCAAACAGAACAGCAGCUGCUUUACCUGACUUCAGAGCAUCUUCAUCAGUCCCCAGCUGGAUCAAACCCCCAGGACAUCAUUUCCAUGAUACUUUUACAGAUUAUCCCCAAAUUUAACAGCUGCCUGCCAGCACUGUGUACUUACCAUUGGCAACCCUGCACUGCUUGAGCACCUCACUGAAGCCCUCACACAGCUUGAGGUCAGUCUGGUUCUGGGCACACUCCAGGAACUGUUUAAUUUCAUACUGGCAAGGACCCUGCAGCUGCUGGGCAGCCUGAGCGGCCUGGGGCUCCUGAAACACCAAAUGGCUCUGUAAGAACCCUUCCAACAAAGCCAAACCACCCCCACACUGCUUGCUGAGGGUUCUUCCCUGCAUUUCAGUCAAAUCUUCAUUUAUUUUAAAUAAGAAAAAGCGAAAGCUAAAAUACAAAACAAUAUUCCAGCAAAAGAAUGCCACAUUCAGAGCAGUUAUUUAAAUUACAAACACUUGAGUGAUUUUGAUACAUUCAGGUAAUUCUGGAUGGCACCUGAGCAAAGGUCUCCCCAACAUCAGACCUGGAACAUGGAAGUCCUGCCUGAAUCAGAGAAAUACAGUAGAAAAUAACACCAACACCUUGCCACACAUCCCUCUGAACUCUUUAUAAGAUGACUCAUGGUGAGUUACCUUGGAGAUUCAGUCUGUAGCUACAGACUGUAUAUAUUUUUAAUAUAUAUACAGUCUAUAUAAAAACUUUAAGCAUCUCAGCUGUGAUUCAUGUGGUGUUUAAGGCUCCAGCAACUCCCUCAGCCCACACAGAGCCGAGCUGCCAUCAGUCAGUGUCCAGCUGUGCUCCCCCUCACCUGGUAAGUGAUAUCAGGCCUGGCAGCUUCGGAGCUGCUGCCUCCACUGAACCCUCCGGUGAUGGCGUGGCCGAUGGUGUGUCCCACAGCCGAGCCCACGGCCACCCCGGCAGCAGUUGUGGCCAUCUGGGCCAUCAG